GGUAAUGUGGCCGAGACUCAGGCGGCGAGUUGUAGCCUCGCCCACCGGGAUGAACCCGCAGUACCAAGCC
rnacentral:tRNA from 1 species